rfam:Stegodyphus mimosarum contig114523, whole genome shotgun sequence.
GCUUUCGUGGUGUAAUGGUCAGCACACUGAGCCGGUAAUUCAGAUGUCCGUGGUUCGAUCCCCGGCGAAGGCA